rnacentral:rRNA from 1 species
UACGUAGGGUGCGAGCGUUAAUCGGAAUUACUGGGCGUAAAGCGUGCGCAGGCGGUUUUUUAAGUCAGAUGUGAAAGCCCCGGGCUUAACCUGGGAAUGGCAUUUGGGACUGCAAGGCUUGAGUGCGGCAGAGGAGACUGGAAUUCCUGGUGUAGCAGUGAAAUGCGUAGAUAUCAGGAGGAAUACCGAUGGCGAAGGCAGGUCUCUGGGCUGACACUGACGCUCAUGCACGAAAGCGUGGGGAGCAAACAGG